UACGGGGGGAGCAAGCGUUGUUCGGAUUUACUGGGCGUAAAGGGCGCGUAGGCGGCCACUGCAAGUCAGUUGUGAAAUCUCCGGGCUUAACCCGGAAAGGUCAACUGAUACUGCAGGGCUAGAGUGCAGAAGGGGCAACUGGAAUUCCCGGUGUAGCGGUGAAAUGUGUAGAGAUCGGGAGGAACACCGGUGGCGAAGGCGGGUCUCUGGGCAAUUCCUGACGCUGAGGCGCGAAAGCGUGGGGAGCAAACGGG
rnacentral:rRNA from 1 species